CAGCGGAACAACCGGGCGACGCGGACGCAGGAAGCCAGAUAGCAACAGCAGGGAGGAGGAAGAGGAGGGGAGAGGAAGAAAGAGAGAGAGUUUGUGGAUGCUGAUCACUUCGAUAAAAUGACAGAUGCGUCCCUCCCACGUCCAUAAACGCACGCACAUGCAAAUCGGUCGCUCGCUCACUGCGUUAUACUUGUUUUGCAAAGCUCUGGCUGUGGAAUUUCAAUGCGACACGAAGCUCAGUCGAGCUAAUGUGAUCUGGAAAAUACUCGGAGGAUUCACUUUCUCAACACACCAUCAGACGAAGCAGCUCAAUAUCAAGCGUGUACAGAAACUAAACACAGUCGUGGGACCCGGAUAAAGAGCGGAUUGCCAUGGUGACGAUGCACAGUCUGCGCUUGGCCUUGGUUUGUAUGGAGUGCCCUCAUUUCCAUCUGAAAGGUUUGUUCGCUUUCGCUAUCUCGCCGCCGUAUCCACC